rnacentral:rRNA from 1 species
ACGGAAGGCAGCAGUGGGGAAUAUUGCACAAUGGGCGAAAGCCUGAUGCAGCGACGCCGCGUGAACGAUGAAGUAUUUCGGUAUGUAAAGUUCUAUCAGCAGGGAAGAUAAUGACGGUACCUGACUAAGAAGCACCGGCUAAAUACGUGCCAGCAGCCGCGGUAAUACGUAUGGUGCAAGCGUUAUCCGGAUUUACUGGGUGUAAAGGGAGCGUAGGCGGCUUUGCAAGUCUGAUGUGAAAGCCCGGGGCUCAACUCCGGUAUUGCAUUGGAAACUGUAGAGCUAGAGUGGCGGAGGGGUAAGUGGAAUUCCUAGUGUAGCGGUGAAAUGCGUAGAUAUUAGGAGGAACACCAGUGGCGAAGGCGGCUUACUGGACGAUUACUGACGCUGAGGCUCGAAAGCGUGGGGAGCAAACAGGAUUAGAUACCCUGGUA